ACUAGAAGCCCUCUGCCAGCAUGACCACUUUGGCUCUGAAAUGUUUCAAAUUCCUUUCACACUUAAGAAAGCGCCAUCCCAGACUUUGUUGGCGAUGGCCUGUUGAAAAGACAACCUCCAUACUUUACAUAUAACGUAAAUUACAGAGCAUUUAUUAUGUUUAUAGCGAACACUGAAUAAGAUACAGAUUGCAGCUUUCAAGGAAUAACCAAUGUCAGGAAAGAUCUGAUCCUGGCUAUUCCUUGGGCAACAGGGGGAUAAGCAGUAACUCCCUUUUAGAAUCAUUGUCUAAGCUACAGAGGGAGUUCGAUGGAUUUCCCUGGAUUACAGGCUCUGAAAUGGCCUAGCCUCAUAUCAGACCAGGCAGGUGCAGCUCAAGAUAUGUGACUUCCAGAAACUGCUUUCAGUGAUUAAUGGAAUUGUAGUCUGUACGACACACCUGACUCCCUCCAGCUGUUACUCAAGCCCAUGG
rnacentral:lncRNA from 1 species